GAUGAACGCUGGCGGCGUGCCUAAUACAUGCAAGUCGAGCGAACAGACGAGGAGCUUGCUCCUCUGACGUUAGCGGCGGACGGGUGAGUAACACGUGGAUAACCUACCUAUAAGACUGGGAUAACUUCGGGAAACCGGAGCUAAUACCGGAUAAUAUAUUGAACCGCAUGGUUCAAUAGUGAAAGACGGUUUUGCUGUCACUUAUAGAUGGAUCCGCGCCGCAUUAGCUAGUUGGUAAGGUAACGGCUUACCAAGGCAACGAUGCGUAGCCGACCUGAGAGGGUGAUCGGCCACACUGGAAGUGAGACACGGUCCAGACUCCUACGGGAGGCAGCAGUAGGGAAUCUUACGCAAUGGGCGAAAGCCUGACGGAGCAACGCCGCGUGAGUGAUGAAGGUCUUCGGAUCGUAAAACUCUGUUAUUAGGGAAGAACAAAUGUGUAAGUAACUAUGCACGUAUUGACGGUACCUAAUCAGAAAGCCACGGCUAACUACGUG
rnacentral:rRNA from 1 species